GCUUGCUUUUCUCACUGUCGAUGUAGUAGGAACACCGUCAGAAGCACAACCUCGCCACCCAUUGAGACUCCACCGAUCUUGCUUUAACCACUUUCUAAUAUUCUCUUCAAUCGAUUGUUCUUCCACUACAACAACUAAAUCUCACCAUCAUGGUUGCACCGAUAUAACCAUUAAAGCACCGGCAAAAGACCUACUUAAUACCAC
rnacentral:lncRNA from 1 species